CAAAUUUCUGCCCUAUCAACUUUCGAUGGUAGAGUAGUGGUCUACCAUGGUUUGCAACGGGUAACGGGGGAAAUUAGGGUUCUAUUCCGGAGAGGGAGCCUGAGAAACGGCUACCACAUCCAAGGAAGGCAGCAGGCGCGCAAAUUACCCAAUCCCGACACGGGGAGGUAGUGACAAUAAAUACUGAUACAGGGCUCUUUUGGGUCUUGUAAUUGGAAUGAGUACAAUUUAAAUCCCUUAACGAGGAACAAUUGGAGGGCAAGUCUGGUGCCAGCAGCCGCGGUAAUUCCAGCUCCAAUAGCGUAUAUUAAAGUUGUUGCAGUUAAAAAGCUCGUCAGUUGAACCUUGGGCCUGGCUGGCCGGUCCGCCUCACCGCGUGCACUGGUCCGGCCGAGCCUUUCCUUCUGGGGAGCCGCAUGCCCUUCACUGGGUGUGUCGGGGAACCAGGACUUUUACUUUGAAAAAAUUAGAGUGUUCAAAGCAGGCCUAUGCUCGAAUACAUUAGCAUGGAAUAAUAGAAUAGGACGUGUGGUUC
rnacentral:rRNA from 1 species